UCCGAUAUGGUGUAGCGGUAACAUUACCGCCUCUCAGUGAGGUUCAAAGCACCUGAACGCGGUAGCCCGGGGUUCGACCCCCCGUGUCGGAA